GCCUACGGGGCGCAGCAGUGGGGGAUAUUGCACAAUGGGGGGAACCCUGAUGCAGCGACGCCGCGUGGGCGAUGGAGUGCUUCGGCAUGUAAAGCCCUAUCCGCAGGGAAGAAAAUGACGGUACCUGACUAAGAAGCCCCGGCUAAAUACGUGCCAGCAGCCGCGGUAAUACGUAUGGGGCAAGCGUUAUCCGGAAUUACUGGGUGUAAAGGGAGAGUAGGCGGCAAGGUAAGCGAUAUGUGAAAGCCUUAAGCUUAACUUAAGGAUGGCAUAACGAACUAUCUAGCUAGAGUACAGGAGAGGAA
rnacentral:rRNA from 1 species